rnacentral:rRNA from 1 species
UCAGCGAAUUCGGUAGAGAUACCUUAGUGCCUUCGGGAACGCUGAGACAGGUGCUGCAUGGCUGUCGUCAGCUCGUGUUGUGAAAUGUUGGGUUAAGUCCCGCAACGAGCGCAACCCUUAUCCUUUGUUGCCAGCGGUCCGGCCGGGAACUCAAAGGAGACUGCCAGUGAUAAACUGGAGGAAGGUGGGGAUGACGUCAAGUCAUCAUGGCCCUUACGAGUAGGGCUACACACGUGCUACAAUGGCGCAUACAAAGAGAAGCGACCUCGCGAGAGCAAGCGGACCUCAUAAAGUGCGUCGUAGUCCGGAUUGGAGUCUGCAACUCGACUCCAUGAAGUCGGAAUCGCUAGUAAUCGUAGAUCAGAAUGCUACGGUGAAUACGUUCCCGGGCCUUGUACACACCGCCCGUCACACCAUGGGAGUGGGUUGCAAAAGAAGUAGGUAGCUUAACCUUCGGGAGGGCGCUUACCACUUUGUGAUUCAUGACUGGGGUGAAGUCGUAACAAGGUAAGCGUAGCGAG